rnacentral:lncRNA from 1 species
GAUCGGGAAAGUUGAGCCAGGCGGAUAGCUACCCGAGUAUGUGAGAUGGCAAGACUGAGCCGGGCGGAUAGUCUUGUCAAGUGGUUACUGAAAUUUAAAAAUGUGAGGAAAUGUAAGGAUGAGUCAUCUGAUCCUAAUUUGAUAGAAAUAAUGUGAAAUUGAAUUAUUUGACUUGGUUGAGUUUGAGAUUAUUUGCAUUACGUGAGAUGAAAUUAUAUGUUUAUGAGAAUAACUGAAAUGGUUGAUUUUGUGAUUGUUAGUUAAGUGUUGGUAUAAUUUUCUGUAUCGAUAAAGAUUUGAUAAUUCUAGCCUAAUAUACUAUAGUUUAGUAAAUUAAAUGCUUAUUGAGUCGCUAGCUCAU